UACGUAGGGGGCAAGCGUUGUCCGGAUUUAUUGGGCGUAAAGAGCGUGUAGGCGGUUAGGUAGGUCCGUUGUGAAAACUCGAGGCUCAACCUCGAGACGCCGAUGGAAACCAUCUGACUAGAGUCCGGAAGAGGAGAGUGGAAUUCCUGGUGUAGCGGUGAAAUGCGCAGAUAUCGGGAAGAACACCCGUGGCGAAGGCGGCUCUCUGGGACGGUACUGACGCUGAGACGCGAAAGCGUGGGGAGCGAACAGG
rnacentral:rRNA from 1 species